rnacentral:rRNA from 1 species
GAAUUUUGGGCAAUGGGCGAAAGCCUGACCCAGCAACGCCGCGUGAAGGAGGAAAUCCUUCGGGAUGUAAACUUCACAAGCAAGGGAAGAAAGUCUCUGAGCUAAUACCUGCGAGGUCUGACGGUACCUUGCGUAAGCCACGGCUAACUAUGUUCCAGCAGCCGCGGUAAUACGUGGGUGGCAAGCGUUGUUCGGAAUUACUGGGCGUAAAGGGCGCGUAGGCGGCUUGUUAAGUCGGCUGUGAAAGCCCGGGGCUCAACCCCGGAGAGUCGGCCGAUACUGGCGAGCUUGAGUACGGAAGAGGUAGCUGGAAUUCCUGGUGUAGCGGUGAAAUGCGUAGAUAUCAGGAGGAACACCGGAGGCGAAGGCGGGCUACUGGGCCGAUACUGACGCUGAGGCGCGAAAGCCAGGGGAGCGAACGGG